UUCGAUUAUGCCAUGCGAGUCGUGAGUCUUAGGGACUCGGCGUACCGCUCAGUAACACGUGGGUAACCUGCCCUAUGCUGGGGAAUAACCUCGGGAAACUGAGAAUAAUGCCCCAUAGUUCACCACGCCUGGAACGGUGGGUGGAUGAAAGCUCCGGCGGCAUAGGAUGGGCCUGCGGCGUAUCAGGUCGUAGGGGGUGUAAAGUACCCUCUAGCCAUCGACGCGUACGGGUGUUGGGAGACAUUGCCCGGAGAUGGAUUCUGAGACACGAAUCCAGACCCCACGGGGUGCAGCAGGCGCGAAAACUUGGCAAUGCGAGCAAUCGUGACCAGGGAACUCCAAGUGCAUCGGGUAAGACCGAUGCUUUUCUUGACUCUUCAACGGUCUUGGAAUAAGGGGUGGGUAAGGACGGUGCCAGCCGCCGCGGUAAUACCGGCGCCUCAAGUGGUAGUCGCUUUUAUUGGGCCUAAAACGUCCGUAGCCGGUUUGGUACAUUCGUGGGUAAAUCAAGGCGCUCUACGUCUUGAAUUCUGCGAGCACGGCCAGACUUGGGACCGGGUGAGGUGUGGGGUACUCUCAGGGUAGGGGUAAAAUCCUGUCAUCCUGAGAGGACCACCUGUUGCGAAGGCGCCACACUAGAACGGAUCCGACGGUCAGGGACGAAGCCUAGGGGCACGAACCGGAUUAGAUACCCGGGUAGUCCUAGGUGUAAACGCUGUGGACUUGAUGUUGGGAGUGCUCCGAGCACCCUCAGUGUCGAAGCGAAGGUGAUAAGUCCACUGCCUGGGGAGUACGGUCGCAAGGCUGAAACUUAAAGGAAUUGGCGGGGGAGCACUGCAACCUGAGGAUUGUGCG
rnacentral:rRNA from 1 species